rnacentral:rRNA from 1 species
UACGUAGGGUGCAAGCGUUAAUCGGAAUUACUGGGCGUAAAGCGUGCGCAGGCGGUGAUGCAAGACAGAUGUGAAAUCCCCGGGCUUAACCUGGGAACUGCAUUUGUGACCGCAUUGCUGGAGUGCGGCAGAGGGGGAUGGAAUUCCGCGUGUAGCAGUGAAAUGCGUAGAUAUGCGGAGGAACACCGAUGGCGAAGGCAAUCCCCUGGGCCUGCACUGACGCUCAUGCACGAAAGCGUGGGGAGCAAACAGG